GUGUUCACUUCAGCAUCACAUAAACUAAAAUUGGAAUGAUACAGAGAUUAGCAUGGCCCCCUGUACCAGGAUGACACCUGGUUCAUAUUUUU
ensembl:snRNA U6 U6 spliceosomal RNA